GUGUCAGCCGCCGCGGUAAUACGUAGGGGGCAAGCGUUGUCCGGAUUUAUUGGGCGUAAAGAGCGUGUAGGCGGUUAGGUAGGUCCGUUGUGAAAACUCGAGGCUCAACCUCGAGACGCCGAUGGAAACCAUCUGACUAGAGUCCGGAAGAGGAGAGUGGAAUUCCUGGUGUAGCGGUGAAAUGCGCAGAUAUCAGGAAGAACACCCGUGGCUAAGGCGGCUCUCUAGUACGUGACUGACGCUGAGACGCGAAAGCGUGGGGAGCGAACAGGAUUAGAUACCCUAGUAGUCC
rnacentral:rRNA from 1 species